rnacentral:rRNA from 1 species
GACGAACGCUGGCGGCGUGCUUAACACAUGCAAGUCGAACGGAAAGGCCCUGCUUUUGUGGGGUGCUCGAGUGGCGAACGGGUGAGUAACACGUGAGUAACCUGCCCUUGACUUUGGGAUAACUUCAGGAAACUGGGGCUAAUACCGGAUAGGAGCUCCUGCUGCAUGGUGGGGGUUGGAAAGUUUCGGCGGUUGGGGAUGGACUCGCGGCUUAUCAGCUUGUUGGUGGGGUAGUGGCUUACCAAGGCUUUGACGGGUAGCCGGCCUGAGAGGGUGACCGGACACAGGGGGAGUGAGAUACGGCACAGACUCCUAGGGGGGACGGGAGUGGAAUAUAGUGCAAUGGGGGGAGAAGUGUGAUGCAGCAACGCCGCGUGCGAGAUGGCGGCCUUCGGGUUGUAAACCGCUUGCGCGUGUGACGGAGCGUGAGUGGCGGUAAGGUGUAGAGAAGCACCGGCUAACUACG